rnacentral:rRNA from 1 species
UACGAAGGGGGCUAGCGUUGCUCGGAAUGACUGGGCGUAAAGGGCGCGUAGGCGGCUCAUACAGUCAGAUGUGAAAUUCCUGGGCUUAACCUGGGGGCUGCAUUUGAUACGUGUGGGCUUGAGUGGGGAAGAGGGUCGUGGAAUUCCCAGUGUAGAGGUGAAAUUCGUAGAUAUUGGGAAGAACACCGGUGGCGAAGGCGGCGACUCGU